UAAGCUCCCCUUGGGAGACACCUACGAAAUUCACAUCUCUUCUUCUACCUUUUUCUUUUCUUUUAUUUUUGGUUUUGUUUCAGCCAUGAGAGGCUGAAAUCUUUUAUUCUAGUUGAGGAUUGGUUGAAACUAAGGUUGUUUAAUGGGUUGUGAGAUCUGAACAUAAAUUAUUGUCUUUGGUUUUGUCCAAUAUUUAUGCAAUUGAUGCUUUAAUUACAUGAUUACUUUGUUGUUUUGAUCAAAUUGGCCACUUGAUUUUAAUUGCAAAGUUAAUUGAUUGUUAGUUGGGAUUAUUUUUAGUCCGUAAUUGCUGGAAAUAUUCUGACCUUAGAACACUUGGCGUAAAAACCAAGGAAUUGCAUGAUCUAGCGUUAUCUCCAUACGUUUGGGUUGCUAGGAUUGGAUCUCUCUAUUUCUUUAUGCAAUUGACAAUAAUUUUGAUGCCUAUGGCCCAAGGACGUUCCUUGGCAAUUUGUUAAUUAGUAAUUAAUUAGAGGACGUUCCCUAAUUAAUUUAAUCAUAAGGAGAGACAUGGUGGUGAGAAGCGUCUUCCACCCCCAUAACUAAUCUAUUGAACCAAUCAAGAUAAUCUAAGUUUCAAUGAUCAACCCAAACAACCAAAGUGGAUCCAUAUCUUCAACUAGACUUCUCUCAUAUUGAUUUCCUCUUUUAUUUUAAUUAUUUGCUUUCUAUUAUUACUCUCAUUAUUAGUUACUACAAUCAAUUUCAAACCCCCCCAUUUUACUUUUAUUGCAAUUUAUUUUUAUUCUGCUUCCAGUUUAUCUCAUUUGAUCCCACUUUCAGUCUUUUAUCUCAUCUUUAAUUUAUUAUUGUUUCAGUUCAUUUUAUUGGUCUUGUUGAGAAAAAUAAAUAGGUAAUCAAUUCUCUGUGGAUUCGAUCCUUUCACCACUAUCUGCAGUUAUAAAAUUGUU
rnacentral:lncRNA from 1 species